rnacentral:rRNA from 1 species
CCCUUAGAUGUUCUGGGCUGCACGCGCGCUACACUGACGAAGUCAGCGAGCAUCUCCUACGCCGAAAGGUGCGGGGAAUCUUGUGAAACUUUGUCGUGCUGGGGAUUGAUUUUUGAAAUUCUUGAUCAUAAACGAGGAAUUCCUAGUAAGCGCAAGUCAGCAGCUUGCGUUGAUUACGUCCCUGCCCUUUGUACACACCGCCCGUCGCUACUACCGAUUGAAUGGUUUAGUGAGAUGUUUGGACCGGAACUCUCUUGCUCAGCAAUGGGCGAGAGAGAGUCUGGGAAGUCCCUCUAACUGUAUCAUUUAGAGGAAGUAAAAGUCGUAACA